UAGUUGCAUGAAAAAAAAAUAUUUCGCUUAAAGUCGUGCUGUUAUACUAAAUAUUAGCACAGCUGUGAUGCCUUUAACACCUAGCUGCAUUGUUGGUCACAGCCGUGCUGAUAUUCAGUACUACAGCACUUCCUCUUGUGUGAUAUGGCAGUGUGUACUCACAAGUGUGUGUCUAUAGUUGGAGUGAAUCCAUGAUCUACUGGUACCUGUUGGGCCUUCUUUUACUACUGGUGAUACUGGUCAUCAUCAUCAUCAUGAUCUUCAUCAUCAUACGAAUAAUGAAACGGACAAAGAAUAAAAUCAGGACCAAGGAGAGGAGCAACGACACCACUGUUCACACAUCUUCAGCAUCAAAUGUUGAUAAGGAGGAUGUGAUCUACAGCUCUGUACAUUUUACUCCUAAAAAGAAAACUGUGCCUCUAAAUGAUGUUGAUGAUAAGACCAUCUACAGCACUGUGGUUUGCCAUUAAAAGACACUGAUGUGCUGUUUGGCUGGAAGGAAACUGCGAUUGGUGCCUCAGGGAUCUCUACUGGGUCUCAUGUUCAUCCUCAGCAUUAUGAACAAACCUGAUCAAGACAAGGACAACAUGCCUCACACUCGUAUCACAGACUUACAUCAUAGUCACAUGACCAUUAGGUCAUUCAGAAAAGACCUGUUUCCUUACUGUAGCUGCCACAUAACACCUCCUAGAGCUAACUUAAUACAAUUCCUUUGGGCAAACUGACAAAACUUCCAGCACAACUGAACAAAAAGGCACGAAAAAACAAAACAAAAAAAAAACUGGUGUUUGCUAAGAAAAAAGGAGCAGUUCUGUGAUCUAGCAUAAUCAUGUAUUCUUAUAUAUUUUAUAAAUAAAUG